rnacentral:snoRNA from 1 species
UGGUUGUGAUGAGGACAAUCUCUGAGCAACCCCUUGAACUUCUCCCAAUCUUUAUAUGAAGACUCCCCUGAUUUCUGUUUGAAAGCUACUAUCUCACUUCUAAUCAU